ensembl:lncRNA
CUGUACCUGGGCUUGUUGCAGUGACCUGAAGUUACUAAACUUCAUGAUCGUAUGCGCUCACUCCAAGAACCGUAUGAUUAUAAAUAUGCAUAUAAAUAUGCUAAGAUGAGAUAGCUGACUUCAUCUAACUAGCAAAUGUUGUCCAGGCUACGUUGGUGAUACAGUUUUUUUUAAUGUGUAUGAUAUUUUUGUCAUGCGAUUUUAAAGCCAGUCCUACAAGCGCAUCCAAGAAUAACAUGCAGCUUAUCUCAGAACUGUCGGUGAAAAUUAUUCUAGGAGCUAGGUUUAAUUGAGCUGCAUUUUAAAGAGGUGCAAUUUCACAAUUUGUGUAUAUUUUCUAAGUUCACUAUUUUGUCAUGUGUUGAGAAAAACACAGAUUUUAAAAUUACAUGGUCUAAUAUUUACAUUUAGCAUAUAACUGCAACAUUAUUUUUUCGUUUUUUUUUUUUUUUAAAGACUGGAAAGGACUUGAAAUUCAAAGUUUCAGACUUGUGACUUGACUCGGACUUUUACACCAGUGACUUGAGACUCGACUCUGACUUGCCUGACAUUACUUGAGACUUGAGGAUAAAGACUUGAGACUUACUUGAGACUUGCAAAACAAUGACUUGGUCCCACCUCUGCACUGAUUACUCACAAACUCACACAUCUUAACAUUUUCAGUAUUUUUCUUAUUUAUACUGUCACGGUCCAGGUUAUAUGCCAUUAUUUCUGCUCACUGGUAGCUCUAUCUUUUGAGCCUGCUAAUGUUUGUCUUUAAAAACAUGAAGUGAAAUGGGUGCAUCUGAUCUACCUAAAGCCAUAAAGUUUGCACAUUCUGUUUAACAGUAUGUUUGCACAAGAUCUCCUGUUAUUCUGUUUUCAAUGUUUUUAAUUCAGAAUUUUUGUAUUUUUGAUUGCCUGUCUUUUUCUAAUAAUUGUGCAGUUUUUGUUUUUUUUCUUCCCUUUUAGUUUUCCCGUGUUCUUUCAUGUCAUUUUCAUUUCAUGCAUUUUUGUAUUACCUUUAAUUACAUUUUUGUCUGCUUUGCCAGUGAGAAGUGCUAUAUACAUAAAUGUAGCUUGCUUCCUUAUCUGCUAGUCAUCAAACUUUGAACAAAUAUUGUUUAAGACCACCUCAAAAAUUAGAAGAAAGUCUGGCUGCUGGCUGAAGAAAGCAUCUUGUUUUUAAUGCAGAUACUUUUUUAGUCUGUUUUUUAGUCAAGUGUAUAUAAAGUUAAUGCAUAGCAUAGAUUGAUAUUGUAUGGCAUUCUAAUGCUGUCGUAGUGCUAUAAUAGUGCACUAAACUGUAUAUUC